rnacentral:rRNA from 1 species
UUCCAUCGCGACCCCAGGNCAGGCGGGA